AUCAGCCGUUGCGGUAUGCAAUCAAUUCCCUUACCUCAAAUUGUUUUUCUUCACACAAACCUUCCAAAAUUGAGGUAUUUUUACCUCCAGGUCAAACACCAUAUGCUCAUUGGACAGAUAUCUAUUUACAUAAGCAUGGUGUUGGCAGAGCAUGACAUUUACCCACAGUAUGUAAGCUCAUUUCAUUUCAAGACAUUCGACACCUGUGUGACUAAGCUUGUAGAUAUGGAUUUUUUUGUCUCAUAGAAAUAAGUAAUGGAUGUGUGUUUGGAGAAAGGAAGGAAGUAUGGAUUUAGCGUGUUGGUUUUGUGACGACGAUGACCGACUCGCAUCUGAGAGGCUAAGCUAUGGGCACUGUAGUAAAGGACAGCGAAAAGUAACCGUCUGAGGUAAACUUUGAAUGACUGGUUUGUUGAUGUGAGCAUCCCAGAAGUAGUGGUUAAUGCCUAGCACUUUCGUCUAAGUGACUCAUUAACAUUCACAGCAAAGUUCUCUCGCGCUUCCUCGUCUUUUCAACACGUAGGGGUGCAAAGGUCAAAGGACUAGGAAGAGAUGGCCAUUACGAAUCAUAAAGGAUUACCAGAUGAGCCUAGACACUUUACUGCUCCUCCUGAAGAUGUCUUCAAAGAUGUCCCAGUCAAUGCACCUUUUCAAAGCUGUUUAAGUUUUCGCUCUCCGUGAAAACUUGCUCACCUGUAGGAAGCAGUUCUUUCCUGGUUCCAGUUUUCUGAGGGUUGGAAGAACAUUCCAUCAGUUUCCCACCCAACAGACACAGAACGUUUGCCAUGUUCUACAUGAUAUUAAUGGGAAUGUCGCUGGAUAAUUUCUUUAUCGAUUCUCAGGAUAUUGCUUGAUGGUCCCAAAGAUAUAUUCUUCCCUCCCAAAAUUGCCACUUGUUUCGGUUUCUGAGCUAAUAACUCCCUGAUUUGUGAACUAAUGAUCCAUUCAUAGGUAUUUAGUCUGUUAGCAUGGUUGAAUCUUUUUUUUUUUUUUUACAUUGGACAUGAUUAUUUAAAUAGAAAUUAAUGUUCCACAUGUCCUUAGCUGGGAUUUAAACUCCCAAACUCUUAGUUCAGAGCUUCCCAUGACACCAUGGAAUCCCCUCCCAAGUGAUCAAGAUGUAAGUUUGCUCUAAUCAACAUGCAGAUUAAAAACAACUAUUUUAAAUGCUCGGCUAUAUACAUAUACAGUGCCUUGCUAAAUAUUCAGACCUCCGACUAAUUCUCUCCUCUUACUGACCUACAAAAUGGUACAUUGACAUUUCAUUCUGGUUUAAAGUUGAAUUUUAAACACUGAAAAUCAAAACAAGUUGUUGGAAAUAUUUGUAAGAAAAAUAAACACUGUUGUUGUUUGCCUUAGUAUUUACCCAAAUGCUGUGGAAUCUCCCAGUUUACAGAGAUGAAAGAAAUGGUGACAUCACUGCUGGAUUGGCCCUCCUCCUCCAAUCCAGUGUUCGGCAUCUCCCUCCUAUUAACAAUGGUUACAGUCACCAGGGAAGCGCGAGGUCCCAUGAGGGCAUGAACUGAGCAUUACGCACCUGUGUUUUAUUUGGGAAUCAGGGGGGUAUUUAGGAUGUAGGCUGACACCGGUGCGUUGUUGGUGAUUAUCUGUGUCUGUUAGAGGAAGGGCUUUGCAGUCUGCACCUGCACGCCGAGUUUACAGUAGGUUAUGUGUAUUCUGGUUUUGUUUUAUAGACUAGUUUUCAUGUUUCAGGCCCAGGGCUGUUGUUUUUUUGUUUCUCUGUUUUCUGGAUGUUGGAUUUAACUUCCCAUUGGUGUCUACCUGUGAACCAUUAAAGUUGCUGUCACAUUUUCUAGAUAAAAUUCUUUGGUG
ensembl:lncRNA